rnacentral:lncRNA from 1 species
GAGUACAAUUCCUAAAGCAACUAUUUUGGACAGAUUCUUUCACCUUUUAUUUAGAUAAUAAAAUAAAAGUCUCAGGGAUCGCCUUCUUAGCAGACACUGUGCUUGGCCCCCAGAAAGUGAUCCAGACAGUCUGCAGGCUCAGAGACUCAUCAUCUAGGGGAAAGGACAAUACCAGGUUCUGGGACUUAGCACAGAAGUGGGUGGGAAGGACAGAGAAGGGAUUUGGAGCCCAAUGCUGAGGAACCUUCAAUGGCCCCAAGAAGGAGGCAGAACAGAAAAAAAAAUGGUGAUGGGGCAACAAGGCAAUAAGCAGCUUCUAUGUAUUCAGCAUGGGGUCUGUGCCGGGCCUUGCAGGGAAUGUGGCCCUGUUUAAGACCUGGAGUUGAAAGAGCACUACAGGGUAUCCUGGAAACCCUCCUCCAAACCUUUGUCAAGCUAUCACAUUCCUUAAGCCCCCCAUUGCAGAGUUUCAGGGACAGUAUCUUGAAAUUAUAUCAAAAAACAGAUUAUGGGCAAUACAGAACAUGGUGAGAGAAGGUGAGAUAAAGUCCAAUGAUAGGACUUCUAUUUUCCCUGCAGCCAGAUUCCUCAGGCUGAUCCCUCAGGCUGAUCCCUCAGGCUGGUCCCUCAGGCUGAUUC